AACGAACGCUGGCGGUGCGCCUAACACAUGCAAGUCGAGCGCGAAAGUCCCUUCGGGGGCGAGUAGAGCGGCGAACGGGUGAGUAACACGUGAGUAAUCUGCCCUUCACUUCGGGAUAACUACCGGAAACGGUGGCUAAUACCGAAUAUGACCUUUCAUCACAUGUUGGAAGGUGGAAAGUUCCGGCGGUGAAGGAUGUGCUCGCGGCCUAUCAGCUUGUUGGUGAGGUAACGGCUCACCAAGGCUUCGACGGGUAGCCGGCCUGAGAGGGUGACCGGCCACACUGGGACUGAGACACGGCCCAGACUCCUACGGGAGGCAGCAGUGGGGAAUAUUGGACAAUGGGCGAAAGCCUGAUCCAGCAACGCCGCGUGAGGGAUGACUGCCUUCGGGUUGUAAACCUCUUUCAGUAGGGACGAAGCGCAAGUGACGGUACCUACAGAAGAAGCACCGGCCAACUACGUG
rnacentral:rRNA from 1 species